rnacentral:lncRNA from 1 species
ACAUUUCACUAUCUGAAGAGCAGAAAAUGUGUUAAUAGGAGCCUGGUGAGUGGAGGAGACUGAAGAUGGAGAGAGAGCCUGGACCUCAACAUGAGCAUCUGGAGCCAUUUGGCAGCAUUAGGCUGUGACCGCUUAGAGAACCGAAAGAAACACCACCUGGAACACAGCUGUGACUUGAUAAACAAGUGAAACAUUCUUUGGUGUGGUGAGGGGAAAACAAAUUUCUCAAAGGACACGCACCAUGGUGUAUGAGAGGACACUGGAGCCCAGCCAGCAUCUGACAUGCUGAAUUCAAAGUGCAGGUGAAAGUAGGACAACUGAUUCACAAGCUGGGAUGCCUGUGUUGUUGUUUGCCAGUGUGCGUGUGUGUGUUUUCCUGGCACCCUUCAUUCAUUCCCCAGCACAGUUGACAUCAGGUUGGAAGCAGUGAGUUCUGAGGGAGACUGCUAGAGGACCCAACUUGGAGAAUCAACGAUCUGCGAUGAAGAUAAUGAAGAUAAAGACAAUGUCAAUGUCAGCGUCCAAAAUCAUAAGGACCCUUU